rnacentral:rRNA from 1 species
GAUGAACGCUGGCGGCGUGCCUAAUACAUGCAAGUCGAGCGAACGGACGAGAAGCUUGCUUUUCUGAUGUUAGCGGCGGACGGGUGAGUAACACGUGGAUAACCUACCUAUAAGACUGGGAUAACUUCGGGAAACCGGAGCUAAUACCGGAUAAUAUUUUGAACCGCAUGGUUCAAAAGUGAAAGACGGUCUUGCUGUCACUUAUAGAUGGAUCCGCGCUGCAUUAGCUAGUUGGUAAGGUAACGGCUUACCAAGGCAACGAUGCAUAGCCGACCUGAGAGGGUGAUCGGCCACACUGGAACUGAGACACGGUCCAGACUCCUACGGGAGGCAGCAGUAGGGAAUCUUCCGCAAUGGGCGAAAGCCUGACGGAGCAACGCCGCGUGAGUGAUGAAGGUCUUCGGAUCGUAAAACUCUGUUAUUAGGGAAGAACAUAUGUGUAAGUAACUGUGCACAUCUUGACGGUACCUAAUCAGAAAGCCACGGCUAACUACGUGCCAGCAGCCGCGGUAAUACGUAGGUGGCAAGCGUUAUCCGGAAUUAUUGGGCGUAAAGCGCGCGUAGGCGGUUUUUUAAGUCUGAUGUGAAAGCCCACGGCUCAACCGUGGAGGGUCAUUGGAAACUGGAAAACUUGAGUGCAGAAGAGGAAAGUGGAAUUCCAUGUGUAGCGGUGAAAUGCGCAGAGAUGUGGAGGAACACCAGUGGCGAAGGCGACUUUCUGGUCUGUAACUGACGCUGAUGUGCGAAAGCGUGGGGAUCAAACAGGAUUAGAUACCCUGGUAGUCCACGCCGUAAACGAUGAGUGCUAAGUGUUAGGGGGUUUCCGCCCCUUAGUGCUGCAGCUAACGCAUUAAGCACUCCGCCUGGGGAGUACGACCGCAAGGUUGAAACUCAAAGGAAUUGACGGGGGCCCGCACAAGCGGUGGAGCAUGUGGUUUAAUUCGAAGCAACGCGAAGAACCUUACCAAAUCUUGACAUCCUUUGACAACUCUAGAGAUAGAGCCUUCCCCUUCGGGGGACAAAGUGACAGGUGGUGCAUGGUUGUCGUCAGCUCGUGUCGUGAGAUGUUGGGUUAAGUCCCGCAACGAGCGCAACCCUUAAGCUUAGUUGCCAUCAUUAAGUUGGGCACUCUAAGUUGACUGCCGGUGACAAACCGGAGGAAGGUGGGGAUGACGUCAAAUCAUCAUGCCCCUUAUGAUUUGGGCUACACACGUGCUACAAUGGACAAUACAAAGGGCAGCGAAACCGCGAGGUCAAGCAAAUCCCAUAAAGUUGUUCUCAGUUCGGAUUGUAGUCUGCAACUCGACUACAUGAAGCUGGAAUCGCCAGUAAUCGUAGAUCAGCAUGCUACGGUGAAUACGUUCCCGGGUCU